CCAGAAAUAAAUCCAAAUGACGUCUCGUGAAUCAGGGCAUGGUUACGUGGCAUUUUCCAACAAGCGUGGCAUACUCAUAUAAGUCUUACAUUCUUUUCCUGGUGUUAUUCUAUCGGAGAAGUCAACAACCAUCAUUUCUUCUGACCACUCACAUUGAAAGUAGAGCGAGAAUGCCACUCAAACAAUUGCCCUAAAUCGGUCUUCACG
rnacentral:lncRNA from 1 species